ensembl:lncRNA
GCGCGGCUCCGCUUGCGCACACUCGGGGAAGGAGAGCUGACCUGUUUUCUCCGUCCUGGCCCGCCUCCAUAUUGCCAGUGUGCAGAGGCGGGAGGGAAAGGAAGAGGGAAGUGGAAAGGGAGCAAAGAAGCUAGUGAGGAUUUCAGUGGCAGGACAAGAAAGUGGCACAAGCAACAAAUCCAAGACAACGUAAAAAAAGCAUUUCCUGUCCUGAGUACUGCAAGCUGCUUUCCAAAGACUGUUCUCAGCUUCAGAUGAUCCCGGGCCUCAACAUUCUAAAGAAUGAAAGAAAGUACCACCCCUAGAAGAGAAAGAAAAUAUUUCCUCUGAAAUUGUGGACGUCUCAUGGCAUCCUUCCAUCACUAACAGUACACCUGCCUCACAGGGCCAGCCAUGGGUAGGCAGUCAGCGUCCAUUCCGGAGGCCGCUGUGGAGUCUUCACAACUUUGGCAACUUCAGGGCUGAGCUGUCCGGCAGUGGUAAUCUUAUUGUGGGAGCCUAUGAGUGACCACUGACCUGAUGGAGGGUUAGUCUCGGCAGGAGGAUGGCUAUUAAUGGGUUGUUUUUAGGUGAAAGCUGAAGAAACCACAAAUAAAAUCCUCACCUUAAAACUUAACUUUAAAAAGAAAAUCUUUUUUCAUCUUUUUGGAUUGCAGCAAAUAUUAGACUUUCUGAUUUAAAUUUCACUUGGGACUUAUGCAUACUGUAUUUUAUUUGAUGGAGGUAGUAUUAAAAAUAUAUUCAAUUUAGCAUUAAAGAAGUGGCAUAACAGUUUGUCUGAAGUAGGAUGGUAGCCCGUGAUUUCAUUAAUCUUCUGAGUAAGAAAUGUUUAAAAUGGUUCAACCUAUCCCACAAGCCAGGUGUAGUGGUGCACCCAUGUAAUCCCAGCACUCUGAGAGUCUGAGGCAGGAUAGCAAGCUCAAACUCAGUCUGGACAAUUUAGUGAGACCCUGUCUCAAAAAAUAAAUUAAAUUUUAAAUUUAAAAAA